rnacentral:rRNA from 1 species
GCUCAACCGUGGAGGGUCAUUGGAAACUGGGAGGCUUGAGUGCAGAAGAGAAGAGCGGAAUUCCACGUGUAGCGGUGAAAUGCGUAGAGAUGUGGAGGAACACCAGUGGCGAAGGCGGCUCUUUGGUCUGUAACUGACGCUGAGGCGCGAAAGCGUGGGGAGCGAACAGGAUUAGAUACCCUGGUAGUCCACGCCGUAAACGAUGAGUGCUAAGUGUUAGGGGGUUUCCGCCCCUUAGUGCUGCAACAAACGCAUUAAGCACUCCGCCUGGGGAGUACGGCCGCAAGGCUGAAACUCAAAGGAAUUGACGGGGGCCCGCACAAGCGGUGGAGCAUGUGGUUUAAUUCGAAGCAACGCGAAGAACCUUACCAGGUCUUGACAUCCCGCUGGCCGGCGCAGAGAUGUGCCUUUCCCUUCGGGGACAGCGGUGACAGGUGGUGCAUGGUUGUCGUCAGCUCGUGUCGUGAGAUGUUGGGUUAAGUCCCGCAACGAGCGCAACCCUUGAUCUUAGUUGCCAGCAUUGAAUUGGGCACUCUAACGUGAGUGCCGGCGAGAACCAGCGGAAGAAGGGGAUGAUGACAAAUCAUCAUGCCCCUUCUGACCAGCGCGACACACCAUGCUACAAUGAAGGGUAAUAAA